rnacentral:rRNA from 1 species
GUACGAAGGGGGGCUAGCGUUGCUCGGAAUCACUGGGCGUAAAGGGUGCGUAGGCGGGUCUUUAAGUCAGGGGUGAAAUCCUGGAGCUCAACUCCAGAACUGCCUUUGAUACUGAAGAUCUUGAGUUCGGGAGAGGUGAGUGGAACUGCGAGUGUAGAGGUGAAAUUCGUAGAUAUUCGCAAGAACACCAGUGGCGAAGGCGGCUCACUGGCCCGAUACUGACGCUGAGGCACGAAAGCGUGGGGAGCAAACAGG